rnacentral:rRNA from 1 species
GACGAACGCUGGCGGCGCGCUUAACACAUGCAAGUCGAACGGAAAGGCCUGCUUUCCCUUGUGGAUUGCGGGUACUCGAGUGGCGAACGGGUGAGUAACACGUGAGUGAUCUGCCCCCAACUUGGGUAUAAGCCUGGGAAACUGGGUCUAAUUCCCGAUAGGACUGCAGGGUGGUGCCUGUGGUGGAAAACGAUUUUCUAGUGGUUGGGGAUGAGCUCGCGGCCUAUCAGCUUGUUGGUGGGGUAAUGGCCUACCAAGGCGGCGACGGGUAGCCGGCCUGAGAGGGUGGACGGCCACAUUGGCACUGCGAUACGGCCCCGACACCUGCGGGCGGCAGCAGUGGGGAAUAUUGCACAAUGGGCGGAAGCCUGAUGCAGCGACGCCGCGUGGGGGAUGACGGCCUUCGGGUUGUAAACUCCUUUCGACCGCGAGGAAGCCACCUGGUUGGAAGGGUGGUGACGGUAGUGGUAGAAGAAGCACCGGCUAACUACGUG